UAACAGAGGUUUUCCGGACGCUAUUUGCCAUCCUUCAGUGAAGGAGGAAAUUAAUUCACACAGAAUGCCAGCUUCCCUUAAAGAGACGCUAUGGGUGCCUCCUCAAUGGAAUUUUUCUCAAGCUGCAGCACAUGUUCUUGGUGGACCUCAGGAAGUAUUUGAAGUUUCAUCUGAAAC